CUACUGGUGGGGAGUUUUACCGUUGUGUCCCCUUGCUGCAUCUAGAAGGAGAGCGAUGUCACAGAUGCAGACAGUAU
rnacentral:ncRNA from 1 species